UUAUGAUGAAUAUUAUCAGUUAUCCCUGUCAGAUAUUACUAUGUUGAUAACUUUUACUGUCUGAA
rnacentral:sRNA from 1 species